rnacentral:rRNA from 1 species
UACGGGGGGUGCGAGCGUUGUCCGGAAUCACUGGGCGUAAAGGGUGCGUAGGUGGGCAAGUAAGUCAGUGGUGAAAUCUCCGGGCUUAACCCGGAAACUGCCAUUGAUACUAUUUGUCUUGAAUACUGUGGAGGUCAGCGGAAUAUGUCAUGUAGCGGUGAAAUGCUUAGAUAUGACAUAGAACACCAAUUGCGAAGGCAGCUGGCUACACAAAUAUUGACACUGAGGCACGAAAGCGUGGGGAUCAAACAGG